rnacentral:rRNA from 1 species
GACGAGAGGAACAAGCGUUAUUCAUAGUAACUUGGCGUUUAGGGUGCUACGAUUGGAUCUUUAGCUUCCUUUUAUGAAAUACUUGUGGGCAACAGAAGACUGGUAAAAGGCUAAUUUUUAAAACUAUAGAGGAUUCUUGAGUUUAUAGGGGAUAUGGGAAUAUCAAGAGGAACAAUGAAAUGUUUUGAUACUUGUUGGAACACCGAGGGCGAAGGCGCAUAUCUAGGUAAAACUGACACUAGCGCACUAAAGUGUGGGGAGCAAACAGGAUUAGAUACCCUUGUAGU